AUGGGCAGUAUCUAAAGAGGUCCAGCCUGCCCAGUGACAUAGUUUAACGGCCGCGGUACCCUAACCGUGCGAAGGUAGCAUAAUCACUUGUUCCUUAAAUAGGGACUAGUAUCAACGGCGUUACGAGGGCUGCACUGUCUCCUUUCUCCAAUCAGUGAAACUGAUCUCCCCGUGAAGAAGCGGGGAUUCUAAUAUAAGACGAGAAGACCCCAUGGAGCUUUAAGCAACGAAUUUAUUAUGUAUCAACAACUCAACUAAUUUUAAAACCUAAGUUCUAGCUUUUGGUUGGGGUGACCGCGGAGUAUAACCUAACCUCCGCAACUAAUGGGCUCCGCCCUUAUCCACGAACUACAAUUCUAAGAAUCAAAAAAUUGAUGUCUUUGACCCAAAAACUCGAUCAAUGAACCAAGUUACCCUGGGGAUAACAGCGCAAUCUACUUUAAGAGCCCCUAUCGACAAGUAGGUUUACGACCUCGAUGUUGGAUCAGGGUAUCCCGGUGGUGCAGCCGCUACUAAUGGUUCGUUUGUUCAACGAUUAAAACCCUACGUGAUCUGAGUUCAGACCGGGGGA
rnacentral:rRNA from 1 species